rfam:Vibrio furnissii NCTC 11218 chromosome 1, complete sequence.
ACUGCCAGUAGCUUUGAAAUGUACGGAAUCAGCGGCAGGUUGAGGAUCAGCAACACAAUGUUCCCCACGUACAUCGAGAUGAUGACGGACCAGAACACAUCCGGGUGAUCGACAAACAGACGUGGGCC